rnacentral:misc_RNA from 1 species
AGAGAAAACACAACAUUUUUUUAGAUAAAAGAAAGCAAGCUUUGCUAAUAGUUCAUUUUUGGGAAUCUUAACUGUAGAAAGAAAAUGAAGGGGAAGGCCGGAGACAAAGAUGCAGGAAUGGGUGACUGAAUUUGACUUCACUCUAUGCCAGUCACAGUAAGGAUGCUGUAUAAACUUCCUAUUUUCAACUCAAUGAAAUUUCUUUACCAAAAAGUCCAGUUAUUCCCUU